rnacentral:rRNA from 1 species
GCCCCGUAGUCGUAGUGGCGCAAAGCCUAGUGGGUACCUGAGUACCGCGGGACACGUGAAAUCCUGUGGGAAUCCGGCGGGACCAUCCGCCAAGCCUAAGUACUCCUCAUCGACCGAUAGUGAACAAGUACCGUGAGGGAAAGGUGAAAAGCACCCCGAGAGGGGAGUGAAAUAGAACCUGAAACCGUGUGCCUACAAGCACUGAGAGCACGACGCCGUAAGGCCGUGUGAUCGGGUACCUUUUGCAUAAUGGCCCUACGAGUUACGUUUCGUGGCGAGGUUAAGCCGUAAGGUGGAGCCGGAGGGAAACCAAGUCCGAAUAGGGCGAAAGUCGCGGGGCGUAGACCCGAAGCCCGACGAUCUAUCCAUGGCCAGGUUGAAACGCGGGUAAUACCGCGCGGAGGACCGAACCCACCUUAGUUGAAAAUAAGGGGGAUGAGCUGUGGAUCGGAGUGAAAGGCUAAUCAAGUCGGGGAAUAGCUGGUUCUCCUCGAAAUAUAUUGAGGUAUAGCCUCGGAUGAAUACCCGCGGGGGUAGAGCACUGAAUGGGCUAGGGGACCUACCAGUCUACAAACCCAA